CGCUGCGGCGUUCGCCGAACUCAACCCGCGGGUAGGACGGAGUUUAGACCAGCUGAACCUCUUGUUGGUUUUAUACUGAGUCGACGUCAUCCUGGAUUUAGUUCCUGUCACUUUGGGUCUGAAAACUACCAUAGCCGUCCCUAGGCCCUUACACAGCGGAGACCAAAUUCGUCCACUACCUUGAAAUUCGCCACCAAGGGUAGCAAUCAGAAGCGAUGGUUCCAACUGCUCCCUGCGUGGGUGUCGGUAGGUUUUGUCUUCUGUCUUCUUUUUGAAUUUUUUUUUCAAAAGCAGGGUGCCUUCUCCCUUAACUGUUUUUGUUUUCAAUCCAAAUUCGGGGGAAAAAAAGGGACUUGAGGGAUUCCCUGUCCCCUUCCCCAACAAUUGAAUCGCAUUUUCCCAUCCGACUUGCUAGCUCCGUGACAGGGCCCCCCUCGCUCCCCUCAGCUGUCCUUCCCCCGGCAGGCCCAGGCUGGGCUCCCUGGGCCCCGGCGGCCUGAACCAAGCCCGGCUCUGCUCGCGGCAGGCGGCCGCCGUGAUUUGUGGGGUCCUCGGCGCGUCACAGCCGGUCAGCCGGGGCUGCUGGAGGCACAACCAGCCCACGAUGACGGCACGCAGGCAGCCGAGCGCUCUACAGAAAGGUAGGAGAUGGUGCGCGUGGAACGAAAGCAGCCCCUGAGGUCCUUUGGGCCCGGCGCAAGCCCGGGUCUUGCAGAGCCGUCCUUUCUCGGCCCUUCGCGCAGGCAACUCUGGCCACUCCCGGGGAAGGAGCAGUGCCGGGCCCAGGCGAGUCUGCUUAGCGCCGGGGUAGCGAGGUACCUCGGGUUUCCCUAAGGAAGGCCGCCUUUAACUCACGCCCAUUUUGCGCUGUUUCAUACUGGGUAAUUAACCAAGGGUCCCACCAAGGGUGUCUGAAAUUCCCGCGGUAACGUUAAGUAUGUGGGCGGCCUCCUCCGCGGCUCUGGGGCCAAGGGGAAAGGGUGCUUGUCAAUUGCUGCUCCCGGGUCAGAGGAGCGAUUGCGCAGAAAUUUGGUACUGCCUGAGCGCAGAAGUCCGGAGGCGCGCAGCGCUGACCGAGAGAAGCUAGGCGGCGGCGCGUCUCCUCCUAGGCCUCCCCAUGUGGACCUCGGCGCCCUCAUGCCCAUUCGCUCACCUGCUCGUGACCUGAGAGCUUUGCUUCUUUGAGUGCUGAGCAAAAGUAGAAGUGGUUGUAGGGGAGAAAUUAAAGUAGGACGGAGAUGGGUCUCAAUUUGGAGAGAUGGCGGACUUUUUUUUUUUAAACAAUAAACACCACUCCCAAAGGAAGGAGUGUGACCCUCCCCUUCAGAGAGGUCAGGCUAGGGAAAGAAGUUUAUCGCCCUCGCCUUCCCUCUCUAACUAGGGAUGGAGGCUUUUUUUGUCCCCCUUUCUCCGAGACUUAAAAAUCACCAGGUCCUAGGCCACUUUCCCGAGUUUAAUUCUACAGGGCAAAUGAUGGAAGACAACUAGAGGCUGCAACUUAAGCAGGGACUCUGGCUGCGUUUCUGUCUGUGGCUGGGCGCACGCGGCGGUACGCGCACGCGCGUGUGUAUCUUUUAAGCUCUUUGAUGAACCCGGCAGAGGCAGAAGCGCGGUGGGAAACCGGCACAGAUUCCUCGUAGGUUUCUGCAAACGUACUAAGACCAGCGCCACGUGUAGACUUCAGCCGCGAGUCUAAGAGUGCCUGCGAAGUGUUGAAUAAGGCAACCUCCGCCCUUAUUUGCAACACGCUGUCUUGCCUCCUUCCACUGGGUACCUUGUUCUCUUAAUACUCAGAUUUAACAACCCCCUAGACUUUGUCCCCUCCUUUCCUCAGCCUCCCACUGUGCCAUCUGUCUUUUGGAAAGAAGAGCACUGUACAGGGAGUCUGGAGGUCAGAGUUCUAGACUGAACCUUGCCACCUUGCAUAUCAUCCCUCCUCUGGGCCUCAGUUUUGUUUUUUGUUUGUUUUUGUUUUGUUUUGUUUUUUAGUUAAGCCAAUGCCAACAUUCAUUGGGUCUCUUACAUCCCUAACAUUUAAUGAGGCUGGAUAAUUUCUGGAGAAUUCACCAAGGAGACUGAGGGUGGAAUUAACAGCAUUUUUUUAGUGCUUUUCUUUGGGACAAAGGAGUGUGCUGUCUCCAUCCCCACCUGAGGGCAGGGUCUCUGUAUCAGCAGGGUCUAAGAUGAGGAAAUGCAGUCCAGAAGCUCUGUCCUUAAAUGGGUGGCGACUUUCCGGGAAGAAGUCACAGGGACUCCGAGGCCACCCCACGCCAGUUGUUCAGUGGGCUCUAGCGAAGCUCACCCCGGUGCAGCGGGGCCUCCUCCUCCCGGUUGCCUCUCAAUCUGCAGGCGCUUCACUGUCGGUAGGCAGAAGCCACCCGCGGAAGGCGAUCAGGGGCGCUGCGCCCGCACUUCGCCUCCUCUUCGGGCCGAAACCCACAAGUGUCCACAAAGCGCUAAACAAACAAUCAGUAGCCUCGAGUUGCCCGCUGCAAUUGGAAUAACAAAUGCGACGCACGCAAAUUGCCCCCCUCGUGUUGCUAAGCGAUUGUUUGUCGCCCUGCACGCACCGCUCAGCAUGGGAGGACCAGGAGCGUCUGCAGGCGGCCGGCGAGCGCUUAGGUCGGAAAUGCAGUAAACACUCUCCUGAUUUUCCUUAUUAUCACUCAAACACGAUUUCACACAAAGCAAUCACCACGCAGAAGUCUAUGAAAAUGUAUUUGUUGAGGAGUCAGUCGCCCUGGUAAUAGCCCUCAUUUUGUAAAUAUUAAAGAAUAGAUCAGCGGAUUCCGCAUGCAUAAGGUGUAUUUGCGGUCCAGCAUCUAUCAGGACGCUUUUGCGCCGCGGUCAUCGCUAAAUUGAUUCAUAGAGCGUAGAUUAAAUUGCUUCUCUGAUUUAAAACAGAGUGCCCAAGUUUGGAGUGUGCAUCUGGGUAUCUCCUCCUGCCCGAAGAUAUUUUCAUCACGGAGAAAACCGUUGCCCCAUUAGCCUUACACACACACAUACACACAUCCAUGACUUUAAAAAAAAAAAAAAAGCAUAUGCGGCCCCAACUUCUUACGGUUCGUUCCAGGAACUUUCUUUUAUUAAUUCUUUCAGCCUCUUGACCGAUCACGGAGCAGAGUUCACAAUCGGAUGCGUUUAAGUAGGAUUUUUCGUGGCAUGUGCAAAAAGCUGGUGUGUCCUUUUCAAAGGUACAGAGCCCCCUCGCAGGGCGAAUUAGCCGAGUCCGAAGAAUUAGGAACAAUGCGCAGACCCGGCCGUGGCCAGUGCGCAGUAUAGAGACGUGCAGUCUGCACAGCGCUCAACAGGUUUAUUGUUUGUAUUUGGACUUAGAGAAAAAAAUCCAGUGUCUCAGAACAAGUGUUCAAAACCCACUUCAUCGCCCUGCUGCUCUCUCAAAGACACCUUUGGGAGCCCCAGAGGAUUUUCCGGGUGAGACUGAGUGGAUGGAGUUGAACACCACGCACAAAUGCCACCCCACUGAGGGGCAGCGCUUAGGGGGGCUGGGUCUCCCGCAUUUCAGCAGGACUUAGAGACGCUUACUAGCUGAAUUCUGCUAGAGGUUUUGGAACAUUCCAAAUAAACCCACGUAGCCCCUGAGGACAAAAUAAUCAAGGUGUUAGGAAAACUCAUAACACUGGGGGAGAAGAAGAGGGUGUCGAAAAAUGACGCAUUCCCAAGGCAUCAGGGGGAAAAAAAUAGCUCCAAUUUUCCAGGGUUGCAGAAAUCCUCUUUCAGCUGAGUUAUUUACCAAAGUUUGUUUCAAAGUGACUGCACCGUUGCUUUUGCAAAUCACAGAAUGCAAAUGACGAUAAUUUGUUCUCCGUGGAACUUUCUCUUGAAAUGAUUAGCAAAGUCAGUCAUUUGAAAAUGAGAGCGAUUGCACAGACUGUUCGCGAAGCCCCUCGCUAACCGAUAUCAGCUUCUAAAGUUUUCAUUCAUGUAAACCUCAUUAAUGAAGAUCUUUUAUUUAAACGUCAAGGGGAUUUGAAAUUUAGAGUAAAUUAUGAAGCUUGUAUGUCUAGCCAAGUCAUGGGUCAAAUGCAUUUGUGAAAAACUGCUAAAAGAGCAUAUGGUUUGGAAUUUUUCUACAAUGACUAGUGUUUAAAUAAAUUGCUUGUACUGCUUAACUUCAUGUGUAAUUUUGACAGAAAUUGGCCUAUAGCCUUUUGAUAUGUAAACAUUUCAGCCUUUUAUGCGGCAUAAAAAAGACACUUGCUUUUUAGGAUCAGCUCAGGCAGUCACCCUGUAAUUCAGAAAGCUGGCACCUACCAUUACAUUCUUGCUAGAUUUCAACUUUCAAGUGGCAGCCUCAGGGAGGAAAAAAAAA